rnacentral:rRNA from 1 species
GAUGAACGCUAGCUACAGGCUUAACACAUGCAAGUCGCAGGACUGGCGCACGGGUGAGUAACGCGUAUCCAACCUUCCCAUGACCACGGGAUAACCCGUUGAAAGACGGACUAAUAUCGUAUGGUGAUGGAUGGGGAUGCGUCUGAUUCGCUUGUUGGCGGGGUAACGGCCCACCAAGGCGACGAUCAGUAGGGGUUCGGAGAGGAAGGUCCCCCAAAGUGUAACGGAGGGACGGUCAAAAUGCCGACGGGAGGCAGAAAUGAGUACUAUUGUUCAAGGGGGGAGAGCCGGAACCAGCCAAGUAGCUUGCAGGACGACGGCCUAUUGGUGGUAAAUUGCGUUGAUGCGGGGAUAGGGACCGCAUGAAUAAGGACCGGCUAAUUCCGUGCUCGCAGCCGCGGUAAUUA